AACGAACGCUGGCGGCAUGCCUAACACAUGCAAGUCGAACGAGACCUUCGGGUCUAGUGGCGCACGGGUGCGUAACGCGUGGGAAUCUGCCCUUGGGUUCGGAAUAACAGUGAGAAAUGGCUGCUAAUACCGGAUGAUGUCGUCGGACCAAAGAUUUAUCGCCCAGGGAUGAGCCCGCGUAGGAUUAGCUAGUUGGUGGGGUAAAGGCCUACCAAGGCGACGAUCCUUAGCUGGUCUGAGAGGAUGAUCAGCCACACUGGGACUGAGACACGGCCCAGACUCCUACGGGAGGCAGCAGUGGGGAAUAUUGGACAAUGGGAGCAAGCCUGAUCCAGCAAUGCCGCGUGAGUGAUGAAGGCCUUAGGGUUGUAAAGCUCUUUUACCAGGGAUGAUAAUGACAGUACCUGGAGAAUAAGCUCCGGCUAACUCCGUG
rnacentral:rRNA from 1 species